AAUAUGGCGGGUCACGAAGAAAGGCAUGUGAGAAAAUUUGAGAUGUCGAAUCGGUUUGAAGACAAGUGAGAUAAUUAAUUAUGUUAUUGGUUCAGAGAGUGAGUUGAGUGAUUUGUCAAGAGAUGAUGAAACAGAUGAAUGGUUACCACCUGGUGAUGAAAACCAUGGUGCCGAACAACAUGAUGAUAAUAUGGACAUCAAGGCUGACAGUCCUCAUGAUGAGGAUACGAACAUUGAUUUUAAAGAUGUAUUUCCUGAAAAAGUGGCCCAUGCCUCAACUGCAAGAAACCAAGCAAAACAUAAAAUUGUAUAUAAGUUUGACAAGAGAAGAGCAUUUGUUCCACCUUCAAACUUAGAAUUCAUUGAUGCACAGCUUGAACCCGAACCAAAAGAUGACACUUCCUACAACUACUUCAAAUAUUUUGUCACCAGGGACAUGUUUGAAUAUUUGGCUGAAGAGUCCAAUCAUUACGCACAUCAAAAAGUUGGAAUUUCUCUUCAAACAUCAGCUUGUGAACUGGAAACAUUUGUUGAUCUUUUUUUCACAUGGGAUUAGUGCAAAUGCCUGCUGUCGGUUGCUAUUGGGAAGCACACAUCCGUUAUAAUCCAAUAGCUGAUGUAAUAUCAAGACAAACAGUUUCAGAAGCUAGUUUCCUAUUUGCACAAUGCCAACAACUUAACAGUAACCAAGGACAAUAAAACUGAUAAAGUCUGGAAGAUAAGGCAAUGGUGUGAUGAUUUAAAUUCAAACUUUUUGAAAGUAAUUCCAUCUGAAAACCAAUGCAUAGAUGAAGUUAUGGUUGCCUUCAAAGGAAGAUCAAUGCUAAAGCAAUAUCUUCCAAAGAAGCCAUGAAAAUGGAGAUUCAAGCUUUGGGCUCGAUGUUCAUCAACAGGCUUUUUGCAUGUUUUUGAUAUUUAUCAAGGGAAGAAUGCCACAAUUGAAGAUGAAAGCAAUGUCUCUGGUUGUGGAUCGGGUGGAAAUGUUGAUUUCAAGUUGUGUUCAACUCUUCCUGCAAAAAGAAAUUUCAAAAUCUUUGCCGACAAUUUUUUUCUAAUUUUGAGAUGGUUGCUGAACUGGAAAAAAGAGGAUUGCAUUAUGUUGGUACCAUUAACAACAAUCGUCUUCGUGGUGCUCCUCUUAAAUCUGAGAAAGAAUUAAAAAAAGAGGGAAGAGGCUCAGAUAACAGUGUUGUUGAGACAACCAGAAAUCUCUCUUUGGUUCGAUGGUGCGACAACAAGUGUGUCACAAUGAUAUCUUCUUAUUUAGGAAAUGAAGAUUGCAAUGAUAUACAGAGAUAUGAUAGAUCAAAGAAACAGCACAUAAGUGUUAGUCGUCCAUCAAUUAUUGCUGUUUAUAAUAAAUCAAUGGGAGGAAUUGACCUAAUGGAUAUGCCGUGUUCGCUCUAUAAAUGUCAGCUUAGAAGCAAAAGAUGGUAUAUUUACAUCUUUUACCGCACUCUCACAAUUGCACUGGUAAAUGCAUGACUCUUAUACAGAAGAGAUUGCAAAAUUCUUAACUUCAGAGCAAUGUCAUUGAGAAAAUUUCUAGCUAUGGUUGCCUUUGCCUUAUGUAAUGUGAACAAACCACAACGUGGGCGUCGGGCAUUGAAAAGUGCAAGGAAGAAAAGAAAAAUUCAGUUAAUCCAGCACCUGUACAAGAUGUCCGAUUUGACGGUGUUGAUCAUUUGUCCAUUUAUGCAAAGAAAUGGCAACGUUGCCGAAAUUGCACAGGUGGAUUUUCCAUCGUAAUGUGUGGGAAGUGCAAGGUUUAUUUAUGCUUGAACAAAAACCGUAAUUGCUACGUUGCAUAUCAUUCAAAGUAACACCUUUUUGAAUUUUUUAAUAGCUUAUAUUAUGCUGUAAUAUAACUUAAGCCUCUUAUUGAACAAACAGAAUUUUUGCAAUACAUAUUAACAAAACAUUAUUAAUACUAGCUUUUGCCUUAUUUACCAUUGUAGCAAAUAUGCUACAUUAAGGAAAUUCUCGGAAAACAUAAUAAUUUAUCGUUUUUUCUUUUUCAUGGGUUAAUUAUGUAUAAAGUAAUGUAAUAACCAAGGGAAAAAUUUUUCAGAAGUAAUUAGUCACUUUGGUUAAUAUAGAGUUGUAAACUGUAUAUCAAAUUGGUAAAAAUUGUGAAAAAUUUUUAGAAUGACCCAGAA